GGAAUCCAACCAGAGGGCUGCAGUUGAGAGAGAAGCAGGGAUCCACAUCAGCAGAGGGUUGUGUUCCAGCAGUGGGACAGCUUUGGGAAGCCACUAAAAGCGUUCUAUGUUGCAUUUUUCUCUGACCUGACUUCACAGAAGCCCCCUGCAGAUCAUGAAACCUGGGAAGGAUCCUGUGGAGGAUUUGGUCAUGUUUAGAAAGCAUCCAGAGUAGCUAUGACAACUUCAUGUCCCGGGGCCAAGAUCGUGUCCACAUACCAAAUCUGUGACACUAUGCAAGAUCCUUAUCCAACCUAAAGAGGAAACUGUAAAAUUAGAAUUGCCUAAAAUAACCCCUAGAGAGACUAUUGCCGGUUCUUGAGAAGAUUUUUUUUUUUGACAUCUCAAAUACAGCUUUUUCUUAAAAUGUCUGAAACAGGAAACUUGUGAAAGAAAAGAAAAUAAUGAAAUGAAUAAGGUGUCCACAACCCUGGAAAAACAGGUUCCCAGCUAGGUCCUUUUUUUGUUAUUUACUGUGAUUUCUUUAACCUUCUUUGAUCAGUUAAACAGACUUGGAGUGUUAUAGAAGCCUCUGAAAUAUGUCAAUAUAAUUUUCUUGGGUUUAUAUUUGAAAUGGGAGUGGUAUCCAAGGUGGGUUUCAGCUCCCUCUGCUCUGGAUGAGCUGGAAUUAAUGCUGAGUGCAGCAAGGGAGGCUGAUCUCAGCACAGGGAGGUGAUCAGGGUCUGAUCCAUUACCUGGGCCAGGCACUUCAGAUGCUGACUGUAUUUUUGUGAUAGUACAUGUGGAAGUGAAGCAUUCCAACUGAUAGAAAUCUGCUUUUCCAUGCUAUGAAUAUGUUGGCUGCAGCACCUGCAGCCUGUGCUUUCUGGUAAAAGCUGAGCUCUGUGUUAAUUCUCUUAGUUAUUGAUUGGUAAUAUUGUUUCUGCUUCCUGUCUCUGCCCGAGAUUUUUACAUCCUGCCUGUAGUUGAUCCCUUCCUGUUUCUCUGGAUAUGGCAAGGUUCUGCAAAGCAGGUUUUUAUAAAGGAAGAGAGACCUGCAAAAUGCAUUACUAAAGGUACUGAUUUAAAAAAACAGGUGCAUAAAUGAUGUUUGGGUUUAAGUAGCCAGGAUGAGGUUUUGAACAUUGGCUCAGGCAGAACCAAACUCAAACAUUUUAAUAAAGCCAUAUUAACAUAACUGCCUUAUGCAAAAUAUUUCUGGCUGCUUUUUAUGAAAGUAAACAGAAAGAGUGAUAUAUCUGGAUAAAGAGGAGCAGAUGGUAAUUUUCAUUAUUCCUCCCUUCCCCUCUCCUUUUACUUGCAUCCCAGUGAGGGAGAACUAAAAGACAAAAUCUCCACUUUAGUGAAUUUGGAACAGAAACUUCAAAAUAGAUAUCCCAACUUAUGCCUUAACAUUUGCCCUGUGGGGUCAUGCUCUUGAACGCUCUUCAUCCACUGGAUUAAUAAGGCCAAAGGAUUUUUGUCACUGAAAAAAAAAUGUUCAGAUUUUACAUGAGUUAAGGACUGCUUUGAUUAGUGAAAACUCAUUUUCAGUGUCUAAGUUCUCAUCCAGGAAGAACUCUCCACUGUGAUAAUGGUUAUCUGCAAGUCAGUUUUAACUUGGCACCCUUCACGUUUGGCAGCAGAUUUUAGCUUUACAUAACACUGAGUUAUUAUUAAUGUACCAUAUUGCAGAUCUUAUGAAGGAAUCUAGUUUUCAAGUGUUGGGUUUUUUUUUAAGUCAGGAAAUGCUACAGAUAGGCUUUUUACAGGCAUGUCACUUUAUGCUCUCCAUGUCCUGUGCAUUUCAUUAUAUUUCCCUUAAAAUAACAAUCCUUAGGUUAGUGCACGUUUGGUAAUCAAAGCCAUGUAUAAUACCGCCCAAAUACAAAAGGUUUCACUCCAUGUUUCAAGAUCUUUUUCAUUCUCCACAUUUAUAAUGUGACCCCUGUUAAUAUUGCAUUGGCACUGGUGGGUUUUUCUUAUUUGACACAAGUCUAAGGAUGUCUGAGUGGUCCUGGUUCAAGGUCUCUGUCACAUGAGGUACAGAAUUUCUCUCAGUAAAGAUUGCUUUGUUUUUAAACUCAAGUGAAUCAGAAAAAAUACCUGUAAAAGGCUAAAAAGUGUUUAAGGGUAGUGGAGGAUGCACUUGGUGACAGCAGUUCAUACAGGGGUGGGUAAAGUGGUGUGAGCCUGGCAUGUAUAUAGGGAUGGCACUUAGUAAUUGCUUAUUCUCUUUGCCUUUUUUGUUGACUGAUGUUUUUAUCUGGCUCUCUGGAGUGAGGUAUGCUGGAUGUACUGUGGCUUUCCAAAAGGAAAUACUGAAGUAACCCACACGGAGCCAUAAGGAAAAUAAACUGUCAUUUCUAACACAUGGCACAUGAAGAAAAGCCCUUUCACAUCACUUUGUUUCCUGCUCAAAGCUGUUUCUCAAACUGUGUAAGAUCUCCAGCUCACAUUAUUGUUCUCAGGGGCUUCAUACAAGAAGGGCUUUUUUUGUCUAGCCAGGCUAAUGAGGUCCUAUAGCAAAAAGAUACACAAUAUCAGUAAGGAAACAGCUAAUCUGACGUUAAUGUUCAGUGUGUUCAUUCAUUUCUAAAUGCAUAUUAAUUUGGUGUAACUUUUCUGUCCUUGUACUAGAAUAGAAAGUAGGAUAUCUGUGAGUACAGUAAUUAAACAAGUCAA